CACGUCAGUCACCACCUCGCCGGCUCCCUUGACACUGCGUCGUGCUUCCGGCCGGCAAAUGAAGACGAAGGCAGCUGUGAGGUCUCGUGAAGGUGUCUCCUGCUGGCGUCUAGAGUGGCUAGGGAAAUCGUAUCCAUCAGUGACAGGAGAUCCAGGCGAGCCAGCUGCUGCCGCAAACUCUCAUUCUCCUUCAUGACCUCUUCGUUGAGGGAGUACUGCUGGUGCAACUUCUCCAUCAGUUCCUGCAAAACCAAAGUGCAUCAGUCUGCUGUUCAUGUCGUCCUGGAACUCCUCCAACACGUCAACCAUGCAGCUGCGAAUCAAGUCAAUUUGCAGCUGAGGGACUCCAUUACUGGCAGCAGGGACAU